rnacentral:lncRNA from 1 species
UUGGCGACGGCGGCGUCUCUCCCGCUAGAGAGCGGUCACAAACUCCGGUUUACAACAAUAAUGAAAAAUCAUCGAAACCCAGAAAGAGGCUGGUGAAAAAGGGUGCCAAGGAAAGCGGUAGCACGCCUAGUUUGAUAGACGAGAGAGAGGAUGAGUAUGAUGAUGAGGGGGAGGAUAAUAUAAUUGGGGAUGAUUUUGAGAGGGAGAUCGAGGAGAGGAAGAGGAAGAAAUGGGGGAAAGAAGGCGGUAAAGACCAUAAUACUAAGAAGAGGCUUAAGAGUGGCGGUGAUAAGAAGUUCUCUUCUAGUGGGGGGAAAUCAAGUGGCUUCAAAUCCUCUAGGGCUGGAAGUAUCAGAGAUAAUGAUAAGAUGCUUAAUGAAAUGUGGAAUGCUGUUGCUCCCACUGGUGAUUCUGAGGUAGGCUUUUUUGUUUCCGAAUAUUGGUUUUUGUUUGUUCAUUGGUUUAGUUUUGUUUAUAUGUGUUGCUUAUUAGAUUUGAAUUCUCACUUGAAUAGGAUGAUCAAGAGGGCGUUAGGACUUUGGAUGAUGAUAACUUUAUAGAUGAUAGUGGUGUGGAUCCUAGCGACAGGUAUGGAAGCGAUUCUGAGCCUCGCUUUGCUCAUGAUGCUCCUCAGGUAAAUACCCCAUUAAUGAUCCUCGUGUCAUCUCUAGAUUCUGUGUGUGUGCUUCUUAAAAUAUUGCCUAUGGGAUUAGGAUAUAUCCAUUGAUUGCACAAUAUGUGGUUUACAUGGUUUAGGCCUUAUGGUCAAUGAUCUUAUUUUUUCCAGGCAGAGGAAGGUGAUGAGGAUGAGGAAAUUAAGGAGCUCUUUAAGAUGGGUAAAAAAAGAAAAAAGAACGAGAAAAGUCCCGCAGAAAUUGCGUUGCUGGUUGAGAAUGUAAUGGCUGAGCUCGAGG